AUUGAACGCUGGCGGCAGGCCUAACACAUGCAAGUCGAGCGGAGCGGCGGACGGGUGAGUAAUGCCUAGGAAUCUGCCUGGUAGUGGGGGAUAACGUCCGGAAACGGGCGCUAAUACCGCAUACUAUCAGAUGAGCCUAGGUCGGAUUAGCGAGUGGGUGGGGUAAAGGCCUACCAAGGCGACGAUCCGUAACUGGGCUGAGAGUAGGAUCAGUAAAAAUGGAACUGAGACACGGGCCAUACUCCUACGGGAGGCAGCAGUGGGGAAUAUGGGACAAUGGGCGAAAGCCUGAUCCAGCCAUGCCGCGUGUGGGAAGAAGGUCUUCGGAUUGUAAAGCACUGUAAGCGGGGAGGCGUUACCCGCAGAAGAAGCACCGGCUAACUCCGUGCCAGCCGCCGCGGUAAUUC
rnacentral:rRNA from 1 species